GUCCAUGGCCAGAUCACCCUGAAUGUGCCUGAUCUCAUCUGAUCUCAUCAGCUAAACAGGGUCGGGCCUGGUUAGUACUUGGGUGGGAGAAAACAGUGAGACGAUGCCUUCAAGGGAA
ensembl:rRNA 5S_rRNA 5S ribosomal RNA